AGCGAACGCUGGCGGCAGGCUUAACACAUGCAAGUCGAACGGGCAUCUUCGGAUGUCAGCGGCAGACGGGUGAGUAACACGUGGGAACGUACCCUUCGGUUCGGAACAACUCUGGGAAACUGGAGCUAAUACCGGAUACGCCCUUAUGGGGAAAGGUUUACUGCCGAAGGAUCGGCCCGCGUCUGAUUAGCUAGUUGGUGGGGUAACGGCCUACCAAGGCGACGAUCAGUAGCUGGUCUGAGAGGAUGAUCAGCCACACUGGGACUGAGACACGGCCCAGACUCCUACGGGAGGCAGCAGUGGGGAAUAUUGGACAAUGGACGCAAGCCUGAUCCAGCCAUGCCGCGUGAGUGAUGAAGGCCUUAGGGUUGUAAAGCUCUUUUGUCCGGGACGAUAAUGACGGUACCGGAAAAAUAAGCCCCGGCUAACUUCGUG
rnacentral:rRNA from 1 species